GACGCUUAGGCUAAAAUUUUAAGCUGUGGGCCUUCAAAGCCCAAGAUAGGAAAAUUUUCUAGCUUCUGUAAGGCCC
rnacentral:tRNA from 1 species